GAUUCCGCAUUGAUAGGCGAACGCUUAUGACAGGAGCGACCGGUACUCGCCUCUCUCGGCAACAGCUCUUUCGUGAAAAACGGAGGAUCUAACCGUAGAUACGCAAAGCGGUGCGAAAUGCCUCUCGUAAAGCCUCGACCGGUGAGCGUAGCGACGACAACAUCAGCCCCAGCGGCGAUUCAAGCAUGUAGUCGCCUGAGUAUCGGCAAACAGGCAGACUCAAGCAACACGUCUGCCUCCCUUCUUCGAAGCACUCUGUGGCCUCUGCUUCUCGCGUUAUUCUGUCCUGCGGGUAGGCCACGUUGCUUGCUGUGACGCAAAGGCGCUCCACGAGUGCGCAGCUGAGACGAGCGUUGAGCUGGUGUUCGCUUCAGCCUGGAAGUGCACGCUCAGUCCAGUUGGAAGCGUCUUCUCUGUCCUCCGUCGCCAUGCUUUCCCUCAGGAUGCGUUCCAUAAAAACGCUCGGAUGCGUGACGCUGUCCUUGGACAAGUCGUUUUCAGUCUUCGUCAGCGUUGAACGACUCUGGUGCUGAGCGGGUCGCCUGCGGGGAGGGAUCGGUGAAGCGCGCCUCAGGCGUUUGGCACGCUCGCGGCUGAGAAGCUCGUGGAAAAGGCAGCUGCGGGAUCGGAAACAUAUAUACGCGGGGAGGCAAGUUGCUGGCUCGCCGUCCAUCCACGGGGUCUGACUGCCGGUGUAAGAAAAUGGAAGUGGAGUGCGACGUGCACAUCCACGCUACCCGCCACGAAAGGAGAAUGCGAAGCAACCACCUGACAGAAAAGAGAAGGAUCCCAGCCGCAAAGAGGACGACGAGAGUCAGGAAGGAAACCCUGCGCACUGGAAAGGCCAGUCCGAAACCAGCGCCUACACGUCGGUGCCAGAACGCAUCAACGGAAAAAAUUCUCCGAGUACGUGAGAUGCCCAGGGCUAUUAGGUAUUGCGUAGAAUGUGGUUGUCGGAAGGCUCGCCUAGCUCUCCCCGAAUGGAUGCCCCUCGUGCAGCAACUGGCGGCAAGGGUUUCGGAGGCAGCGCUGCCAGCAGUUCGCAUUCGUAGGGAGUUUUUGGUCAAACCCUCGAGCGACAGCACUAGGAAUGCUCCGCUCCGAGCAUGCCAGCGGGCCUGUUCGUGGUGUCAUUGACCAAUACACACGCUGGCCGGCAUCCGUUUCUGCGCUGCACUACAUGGUUGCUCGGCCCAUGGACAGCGUAGGUGCCAGGAAAAGUUUCGCCCAAACCUCAGAACCCAUAGCCAAGAGCGGGUCCGUGGCGACUACCCUACGAGGCGCACCCCAGAGGCGUUGUACUCGUUGCGUCCACAGCGUUGUGGUCGACGAAAUGUUGGCGACUGACGCAAGCGGCUCUUGGGAUGUCCGUGGAGGCACGUGACGAGCUGGCUCCGGACGAGAAGGUGCUGGAAGCGAGCUCGGAGAUGUCGCAUCGAGAACGAGCGACGCUCCAGAUCGUCCGAGCUCAUGGAGUAGGUUUCUGUUCCGGAGCUGGGCACGUCGUCUCGGAAGGAUUACGCGGGCGUUGACCUGGCCUAACUUGCAUCCUGCGCUGCUAGGUUUUCGCGAACGCGGCGCUCCACCGCAAGGCAGACCCUCUGGUCGUAUGUGAGCGCCUUUGCAUCCUCAAACCCCUGGUCGAUACGGUCCCCGCAUUUCGGGGCAAAGCCCAUGAUACCACCGUGCAUAUUUGUGUGGUGUACGACGUCCUCAGUGGUCUACGAUGUGUGCGCACGAGCAGCUAGGGGGCACUCUACCUAUUUCGGGCAGAGCGUUGGCGGGGCUCGUUCAUCGCCACUCGUUGGCUGGGAAAACACGGAAAGCGAUGUACAGGGGCCUUGGAGACGCGCACGGCACAUCAAACAGCAUGCACUUUGCGAAACCCCGGCCCGCUCGGAGCAACGAGACUCAUAUUCAACCGCUUACGGAAAACGAACGUGAAGGCUUCGUGGUGCGCGUGGAUGCCGUUUCUGAGGGCGCCGUGGCCGUCACCGUGCCCGUUCGUCACGGGGCAGCGCCAGAGACCUGAACGGAAAGCAAAUGAGUCUGCUCCACGCCUCCAGGGCCCGGUAUCAUCCGGAGUUGGACGUGAACGACGCCAGCAGGCGUACCAACUCGUGGAAUGACGACGUAAAGACCUGUCGUGACGCGCUGAGUACGGUAUCGGGCAAAAGGAGAUGCACUGCGCACCUCAUUCAUAACGGGUAUGAGCGACUAGAUCGCUCAUGCGGACGAGCCAUGGCAGAGGAACGCGGGACCGAGCUCGAGUCUCCAACAGUCGCAACCGCUCGCGGGCACGAGGCGGGUAUUCGCAAGCUUCCUCAAAGCACUGGAAACGGAACUGGCCGAUCGGUUGCAUCUUAUAAAGAUAGUGCAUGGCGGUGGACGCGCUCUAGUUGCAGAACUGGACUGUCGUCGAUAACGCACAAGGGAUCCGCGAACCGGCACUGAAGUGCUCUCGGUGAUGAGCUCUGGACGAGAUUCUCACAUCGCGAGCACAGAGACACGCUGAAACUGCCGGUGAAGACGAUUUGGAAACGGAGCCAGACGUAUGAGAUGACGUACGCUGAGUUCAUUGAGCUCCAGGUGGCAAUGCACUCACAGUUGAGACGCUUGCUGUGGAGUGUCUCCAUCACGAACGGGAAACGCGUCCAGUUUCUGAACCGAGAUUUGAGCGCCCAUAUCAGCAUCUGGAACUGCAUCGUUCUUCAGGAGCGUCCAUCGGCUUUACUUCAGGCGAGGCUUCGAUUCGAUUGUCUAGUAUGCAGUGUGGGUAUUGUGCUGGAAUGCUGCGGACUCUCGAUGAAAAACAUCAUGUAUCAUCAGAGCGGCGAUUAAGUCCCCGCUUGGAGCAAGCCACUUGUAUGGUACGGUCUGCACUGUAUCAAGGCCGGACUGCCAUAUACCUUCGCCACGAACAAUGUUCGUGGGUAAUUGUGGAACACUCAUCGUAUUCCUUACUUGGGUAUUACGGAGUAUAGCGCUGUAGCAAACGAGGCUGGCGCUGCAGUGCGUGGCAUUCAAACAUGACUCUGCGCUGGCCUUGAAUUUCGUCCGGGCGGCAUUCCGGUACAGUCUCGAAAACUUUCUCUGUGCAGCAGCGUGCAGCUGUCUGCAACUUUAGUUUGAGUUACCGCGCUAUUACGUUCAUAUUCUGUACAGCACUCUUUUGCAGCGGUAGAGCUAGUUCUCUGUACAGCUGCGUACUUUUAUAUAUAUAUGAAUACGCUCUGCGGGGCGAAAAUGUUUCGCGAACAU